rnacentral:rRNA from 1 species
GCGGCAGCGACACUAUGUGUUGUUGGGUAGGGGAGCGUUCUGUAAGCCGUUGAAGGUGUGCUGUGAGGCAUGCUGGAGGUAUCAGAAGUGCGAAUGCUGACAUAAGUAACGAUAAAGCGGGUGAAAAACCCGCUCGCCGGAAGACCAAGGGUUCCUGUCCAACGUUAAUCGGGGCAGGGUGAGUCGACCCCUAAGGCGAGGCCGAAAGGCGUAGUCGAUGGGAAACAGGUUAAUAUUCCUGUACUUGGUGUUACU